AAGGGCGAGUUUAACAGCUCGCUUGGAAGCCUUCCUAUGUUUUACUACAAACGCUUCAGUUUAAGAAUGUAACCUUGCGUAUAACGCAUCUUUAUACAACUUUCAGCAACGGAUCUCUUGGCUCUCGCAUCGAUGAAGAACGCAGCGAAAUGCGAUAAGUAAUGUGAAUUGCAGAAUUCAGUGAAUCAUCGAAUCUUUGAACGCACCUUGCGCUCCCUGGUAUUCCGGGGAGCAUGCCUGUUUGAGUGUCAUGGUAUUCUCAUCCUUCAUAACUUUUGUUAUCGAAGGCAUGGACUUGGAGGUCGUGCUGGUUCCUCGUUGAAUCGGCUCCUCUUAAAUGUAUUAKCKUUUUUUGURACGGAUCGCUUCGGUGUGAUAAUUAUCUGCGCCGUGSUCGUGA
rnacentral:rRNA from 1 species